rnacentral:rRNA from 1 species
GUUUGAUCCUGGCUCAGGACGAACGCUGGCUGCGUGCUUAACACAUGCAAGUCGAACGCUGAAGCCCCAGCUUGCUGGGGUGGAUGAGUGGCGAACGGGUGAGUAACACGUGAGUAACCUGCCCCUGACUUCGGGAUAAGCCCGGGAAACUGGGUCUAAUACUGGAUACGACCUGUCCUCGCAUGAGGGUGGGUGGAAAGUUUUUUCGGUUGGGGAUGGGCUCGCGGCCUAUCAGUUUGUUGGUGAGGUAAUGGCUCACCAAGACGACGACGGGUAGCCGGCCUGAGAGGGCGACCGGCCACACUGGGACUGAGACACGGCCCAGACUCCUACGGGAGGCAGCAGUGGGGAAUAUUGCACAAUGGGGGAAACCCUGAUGCAGCGACGCAGCGUGCGGGAUGACGGCCUUCGGGUUGUAAACCGCUUUCAGCAGGGAAGAAGCGAAAGUGACGGUACCUGCAGAAGAAGUACCGGCUAACUACGUGCCAGCAGCCGCGGUAAUACGUAGGGUACGAGCGUUGUCCGGAAUUAUUGGGCGUAAAGAGCUCGUAGGUGGUUGGUCACGUCUGCUGUGGAAACGCAACGCUUAACGUUGCGCGUGCAGUGGGUACGGGCUGACUAGAGUGCAGUAGGGGAGUCUGGAAUUCCUGGUGUAGCGGUGAAAUGCGCAGAUAUCAGGAGGAACACCGGUGGCGAAGGCGGGACUCUGGGCUGUAACUGACACUGAGGAGCGAAAGCAUGGGGAGCGAACAGGAUUAGAUACCCUGGUAGUCCAUGCCGUAAACGUUGGGCACUAGGUGUGGGGGACAUUCCACGUUCUCCGCGCCGUAGCUAACGCAUUAAGUGCC